GGUUCCAUAGUGUAAUGGUUAGCACGUCUGCUUUACAUGCAGAAGAUCCUGGGUUCAUGCCCCAGUGGAGUCC
rnacentral:tRNA from 1 species